GUAGUCUCGCACAGAUGCAUAUCAAUAAGCGGAGGAAAAGAAACUAACAAGGAUUCCCCUAGUAACGGCGAGUGAAGCGGGAAGAGCUCAAAUUUGAAAUCUUAAAGGGUUUCCCUUUACGAAUUGUAGUUUAAAGAAGUGUUUUCUGUUGAGGUUUUGGUAAAAGUUCUUUGGAAUAGGACAUCAUAGAGGGUGAGAAUCCCGUAUUUGACCUUUACUUUCAACUUUGUGAUACACUUUCAAAGAGUCGGAUUGUUUGGGAAUGCAGUCCAAAAUGGGUGGUAAAUUUCAUCUAAAGCUAAAUAUUGGCGAGAGACCGAUAGCGAACAAGUACCGUGAGGGAAAGAUGAAAAGAACUUUGAAAAGAGGGUUAAACAGUACGUGAAAUUGUCAAAAGGGAAGCGUUUGACACCAGUGUUGUUUUUCUGAAAAUCAAUUAAAGAACUGUUUAUGCUAAGCUGUUUAGACUUUAUCAGCUACUGUUUAGUUUUGAGCUUUUCUUUAAUGCACUUUUCAGUUAACAAGUCAACAUCAAUUUCUUUUGCUGUAAAAAAGCUUGAGGAAGGUGGCUUGAGAUUCGUCAUAAGUGUUUAUAGCCUCUUGCCUAUGCAGUCGGAGAGAUUGAGGUCUGCAGCGUAGAUCCUUCGGGGCUAAAUGCAUUUGUGCUAAGUUAUAGCAUUUUGUAGACAACUUGUUGACUAUGAUUUGUCUUGUAGCUUACUCGCUUAUGUUAUUUUACCUACGCUUAGGAUGUUGAAGACUCUACAGAGAUA
rnacentral:rRNA from 1 species